ACGCUCGACACCUACGGGAGGCAGCAGUUGGGAAUAUUGGACAAUGGAGGAAACUCUGAUCCAGUGACGCCGCGUGAAGGAAGAAGGUCUUCGGAUUGUAAACUUAUUUUGUCAGGGAAGAAAAAAUGACUGUACCUGAAGAAAAAGCACCGGCUAACUACGUUCCAGCAGCCGCGGUAAUCUGAGCGGGCUGGCAAGGC
rnacentral:rRNA from 1 species